GACGAACGCUGGCGGCGUGCUUAACACAUGCAAGUCGAACGGAAGGCCCUGCUUUUGUGGGGUGCUCGAGCGGCGAACGGGUGAGUAACACGUGAGUAACCUGCCCUUGACUUUGGGAUAACUUCAGGAAACUGGGGCUAAUACCGGAUAGGAGCUCCUGCUGCAUGGUGGGGGUUGGAAAGUUUCGGCGGUUGGGGAUGGACUCGCGGCUUAUCAGCUUGUUGGUGGGGUAGUGGCUUACCAAGGCUUUGACGGGUAGCCGGCCUGAGAGGGUGACCGGCCACAUUGGGACUGAGAUACGGCCCAGACUCCUACGGGAGGCAGCAGUGGGGAAUAUUGCACAAUGGGCGGAAGCCUGAUGCAGCAACGCCGCGUGCGGGAUGACGGCCUUCGGGUUGUAAACCGCUUUCGCCUGUGACGAAGCGUGAGUGACGGUAAUGGGUAAAGAAGCACCGGCUAACUACGUG
rnacentral:rRNA from 1 species